AACACGCUGGAAAGUGUGUUUUGGAGCGCGCGUCUUCAGACGCGCAAUGCGGGCCUGAAGGCCCGCGCUCCAAGAUGCCGCCGAAGGAGUAAAUCUCUCAGGCGCCAGGACAGCGGGGGCUGC
rnacentral:ncRNA from 2 species